rnacentral:rRNA from 1 species
CCUACGGGAGGCAGCAGUGGGGAAUUUUGCGCAAUGCUCGUAAGAGUGACGCAGCGACGCCGCGUGAAUGACGAAGGCCUUCGGGUCGUAAAGUUCUUUCGACAGGGAAGAAAAUGCCUAUAAGUAACUGUGUCUGUAUUGACGGUACCUGUAUAAGCAGCCCCGGCUAACUCCGUGCCAGCAGCCGCGGUAAUACGGAGGGGGCGAGCGUUGUUCGGAGUGACUGGGCGUAAAGAGCACGUAGGCGGUGUUGUAAGUCAUUAGUCAAAGACUGGGGCUCAACUUAGUAAGGCUAGUGAUACUAUAAUACUAGAGUAUCAGAGAGGAUUGCAGAAUUCCUGGUGUAGCGGUGAAAUGCGUAGAUAUCAGGAGGAAUACCGUUAGCGAAGGCGGCAAUCUGGCUGGAAACUGACGCUGAGGUGCGAAAGCGUGGGUAGCAAACAGGAUUAGAUACCCCGGUAGUC